rnacentral:lncRNA from 1 species
GGAGCAGCUCGGGACAGUGGAGGAGUCGGACCGCCCUAGCGGGAAGGCUUUCUCAUCUACCAGUGCCGAGCAAAAUUCUGUAAAAAGAGUGAUCCAGAAGAGGGCAACAUUCACAGCCAUUCUGAGACCUAGGACAAGCAAAUGCUUUCACACUGACAGAAGAUGCUGCGAUGCUUUGAGAGCAGAGGACAGAACAAAAUAAAAGCAGCUGAAGUUAGAAGACAGAAAGGGGUAAAAUAAAGGGAGUACAUAAGACUGGGGGGAAAAAAGGAAAUGGGAAAGUAUGAAUUGCUAGACACUAGGU